GAAACUGCGUGUGCGCGCGCUGAGCUCAUCACCGGAAGUUGUGCGCGAGAAUUCACGGAGCGGUAAAAUAACGGCAGAACGGAUUUUCUGUGGGAUAAACACACCGGCGUCGCUGCGAAAGCGAUGCCUCACUCCCGGCGAUACCCGUCGUCGGAGCGGAGUCGCAGUGGGAAUCAUCACGUUCGCUACGAGCGGCACCGGCGGAGACGCCGCACACGCAGCCGCUCCUCGUCCUCCAGCGCCCAGCGGGACCGCAGCCGCAGACGGAACCGCGAGCGACGCCAGCGCUCCAGGAGUUAUGACGAGCACAGGCUGAGCAGCAGACGCUACUGUCGCGGCGAGCGCGAGGAGUUUGUCGAGAACGGCUUCUUCCGACACACACACUUCUCCCGUCGCUCUCACGACUUCCGCUCGGAUCGGGAUCCCGGAGCGGAUCAGAGGAGCAGUCGGCGCGUGCGCAGACACCGCAGGACCAGGACCCGCUCCAGAACACACUCCUUCAGCCAGAGCCGGUCCUUCUCCUCCCAGAGUUGCAGUCGUGUUCGCGGGUGGGCUGUCAAAGAUGAUGACGAGGGUCACCUAGUCUAUCGCGCCGGUGACGUGCUUCAGGACAGAUAUGAGAUCGUAGGGACGCUCGGGGAGGGAACCUUUGGGAAAGUGGUGGAGUGUAUUGAUCAUCACAGGGGAGGCUCUCACAUCGCUCUGAAGAUCAUUAAGAACGUGGAGAAGUACAAAGAAGCGGCUCGUCUGGAGAUCAACGUUCUGGAGAAAAUCAACCAGAAAGAUCCAGAAAACAAGAAUCUGUGUGUGCAGAUGCUGGACUGGUUCGACUAUCAUGGCCACAUGUGCAUUAGCUUCGAGCUGCUAGCUCUCAGUACCUUCGACUUCAUGAAGGAGAACAAUUACCUUCCCUACUCCAUCAGUCAGGUCCGACACAUGGCCUACCAGAUCUGCCUCGCCGUCAAGUUUCUCCAUGACAACAAGCUGACACACACAGACCUGAAGCCCGAGAACAUCCUGUUCGUGAACUCUGACUACACCGUCCUCUAUAACCCGGAGAAGAAGCGAGACGAGCGCUGCAUCAACAGUCCUUCUGUGAAGGUUGUGGACUUCGGCAGCGCCACGUUUGACCACGAGCAUCACAGCAGCAUCGUUUCCACACGACACUACAGAGCGCCAGAGGUGCUUCUGGAGCUGGGCUGGAGUCAGCCGUGUGACGUCUGGAGUAUUGGCUGUAUUCUGUUUGAGUUCUACCGCGGAUACACACUCUACCAGACUCAUGAUAACAGGGAGCAUCUGGCCAUGAUGGAGCGAGUACAUGGACCAGUUCCUUCGAGAAUGAUUCGUAAAACGAGGAAGCAGAAGUACUUCUACCGAGGUCGACUGGACUGGGACGAGAACUCGUCAGCGGGACGAUACGUCAGAGAGAACUGCAGGCCUCUGAGAAGGUACGUGUUGUUCGAGUCAGAGGAGCAUCAUCUCUUCUUUGAUUUGUUGGAGGGUUUGAUGGAGUUCGAGCCGGACCGGCGUCUCUCUCUCUCCGCUGCGCUGCGUCAUCCGUUCUUCAAUCCCAUCCGAGACGCUGAGCACUUCAGCGGCUCCCGUAACAUCAGCCGGUGACCCCUGACCUCCCCUUUAACCCCGCUAGUGUUUCGCAGCGGGUGAGACUGUACGGAGCCGGAGCUGGGGAAACGCCCACAGGAGUGAUGGACAGGAAUCUUUUGUAAGGUUUCUAUCCACACAGCCAAUAAACCCGACGAGUGUGUCCGCAGUCUUGUGUACGAGCGACCGCUGAGGAACUGCUAGCCUGAGUUCAGCAGCUCCUCAAGGCCUCUUCAGGGUCACUGAUAACGCCUGGAUGACCUUCUCCUCUCGGUAUAUUCUCCGCUGACGAGUUCGCCGGCCUCGUUACUCUCCUGCAGAUGAUGAUGAUGCGCUCCGCUUUACAGGAUCCAGGAGUUUGAUGAUGCCUCAUGUUGUCAGUAUGAACACAGCUGUGAUGUUGUGGUCAUGUGAUGUUGUGGUCAUGAUUAAUCUUGAGCUGGAUUAGAAUGUCAUCAUGAUACUUUUUCAUAUCCCAAAAUUCCAUAAAGCUGGAGUUUGUAAUAAUUUUCUUGUGGUAAUGAUGUGUAUUUUCACAGUGUAAUUUUACCUUUUAAUUUUAUUAGGAAAAAUACACUAAACAAUGUUUGUAUUUAUACAGCACAGUUUAUUACACGCGUAGUUGACCAUGAUGGAGUGCAAUAAUACAAACUAGUGUGAAAGUCUUCUGAUUGGAAGAUCUGGCCUGACAUGUGACGGUUCACUGAGAAUUCUGGGUAUCACCGAACCACGGAAGGAUCAAAACACAACCAUAAACUUUAUAUUAUAUACGUGAACAAAGCGGCCGUCAGUGCAGAGGACACAAGCGGUGUCGCUCUCGGGUCAUGGACGCCAAGUACACUAUUUAUUGUUUAUUUAUGUAAUAUUAUUGAAUUUACUGGUCGAACAAACUAUUUAAUAUUAUUAUUAUUAGUAUAUUUUAUUUACCGGUAGAACAAAUAAAUAUGAGUUUUUAUUAUGUAAUAUUGUGUUAGUUAACAACUGCUUGUUCAGCAUUAAUGACGUCAGACGUGUUUUAUCUGUUCAGUCACGAGAGGCUUUCGCUCUCGCCGGCCUCAUGCUCAUGUGUGUGUGUGUGUGUGUGUGUGUGUAAUGAGCUUCCCUCAGUAAGGUCGUUAGUGUGUUAAUCUGCACAGGAGAGCGAGUGA